rnacentral:rRNA from 1 species
UGGGGAAUAUUGCACAAUGGGCGCAAGCCUGAUGCAGCCAUGCCGCGUGUGUGAAGAAGGCCUUCGGGUUGUAAAGCACUUUCAGCGAGGAGGAAGGUGGUGGACUUAAUACGUUCAUCAAUUGACGUUACUCGCAGAAGAAGCACCGGCUAACUCCGUGCCAGCAGCCGCGGUAAUACGGAGGGUGCAAGCGUUAAUCGGAAUUACUGGGCGUAAAGCGCACGCAGGCGGUUUGUUAAGUCAGAUGUGAAAUCCCCGGGCUCAACCUGGGAACUGCAUUUGAAACUGGCAAGCUAGAGUCUCGUAGAGGGGGGUAGAAUUCCAGGUGUAGCGGUGAAAUGCGUAGAGAUCUGGAGGAAUACCGGUGGCGAAGGCGGCCCCCCUGGACGAAGACUGACGCUCAGGUGCGAAAGCGUGGGGAGCAAAACAGGAUUAGAUACCCUGGUAGUCCACGCUGUAAAACGAUGUCGAUUUGGAGGUUGUGCCCUUGAGGCGUGGCUUCCGGAGCUAACGCGUUAAAUCGACCGCCUGGGGGAGUACGGCCGCAAGGUU